rnacentral:rRNA from 1 species
UACGGAGGGUGCGAGCGUUGUCCGGAAUCACUGGGCGUAAAGGGCGCGUAGGCGGCUUCUCAAGCGUGUGGUGAAAGUCCGGGGCUCAACCCCGGAUCGGCCGUGCGGACUGGGGAGCUCGAGUUCUGUAGAGGCGGGUGGAAUUCCGGGUGUAGCGGUGGAAUGCGUAGAGAUCCGGAAGAACACCGGUGGCGAAGGCGGCCCGCUGGGCAGAGACUGACGCUGAAGCACGAAAGCGUGGGGAGCAAACAGG